GCCGGUUGCGGUGGCGCGCGCCUGUAAUCCACGUCACUGGGCGGCUGAGGCUGGUGGAGCUCUUGAGCUCAGGGGUUAUGGACUACCGUGGGCUUUGUUGAUCGGGUGUCCGCACUAAGAUCGGUGUCGAUAUGGUGUUCCUAAGGAAGCUGUGGACUACCAGGUCGUCUAAGGAGGGGUGAACCGGCCCAGGUCGGGAACGGAGCAGGUCAAAGCCACCGUACCGAUCAGUAGUGGGAUAGCACCUGUGAAUAGACGCGGUAGAGCAGCCUGGGUGAUACGGUGUGACCCAGUCUUGU
ensembl:misc_RNA Metazoa_SRP Metazoan signal recognition particle RNA